rnacentral:rRNA from 1 species
AACGCGAAGAACCUUACCUGGGCUUGAACCGCACAGGACUAGCUUUGGAAACAGAGCCUUCCCGCAAGGGACCUGUGUAGAGGUGCUGCAUGGCUGUCGUCAGCUCGUGCCGUGAGGUGUUGGGUUAAGUCCCGCAACGAGCGCAACCCUUACUCAUAGUUGCUACCCGCAAGGGAGAACUCUAUGAGGACUGCUCCGGAUAACGGAGAGGAAGGUGGGGAUGAGGUCAAGUCAGCAUGGCCUUUAUGUCCAGGGCUACACACGUGUUACAAUGCGCGCCACAAAGCGUCGCGAACCCGCGAGGGGGAGCUAAUCGCAAAAAAGCGCGCUCAGUUCGGAUUGCAGUCUGCAACUCGACUGCAUGAAGCCGGAAUCGCUAGUAAUGGCGCAUCAGAACGGCGCCGUGAAUACGUUCCCGGGCCUUGUA